AGAGUUUGAUCCUGGCUCAGAACGAACGUUGGCGGCGUGCUUAACACAUGCAAGUCGAACGAGAAAGUUCCUUCCGGGACGAGUAAAGUGGCGCACGGGUGAGUAACACGUAGAUAAUCUGUCCAGGUGUUCGGGAUAGCCCUUCGAAAGGGGGAUUAAUACCGGAUACGUUGGUCUUUCAUAAGGAAGAUCAAGAAAGGUGGCCUCUAUUUAUAAGCUAUUGCAUUUGGAGGAGUCUGCGUACCAUUAGUUUGUUGGUGGGGUAAUGGCCUACCAAGACUUCGAUGGUUAGCGGGUCUGAGAGGAUGAUCCGUCACACUGGCACUGAAACACGGGCCAGACUCCUACGGGAGGCAGCAGUGAGGAAUAUUGCGCAAUGGGGGAAACCCUGACGCAGCGACGCCGCGUGGGUGAGGAAGGCUUUCGGGUCGUAAAGCCCUGUCAGGUGGGAAGAAAUGGUUAAUAGUUAAUAUCUGUUAGCUUUGACGGUACCACCAAAGGAAGCACCGGCUAACUCCGUGCCAGCAGCCGCGGUAAUACGGAGGGUGCAAACGUUGUUCGGAAUCACUGGGCGUAAAGGGCGCGCAGGCGGUUUGAUUAGUCAGAUG
rnacentral:rRNA from 1 species